rnacentral:rRNA from 1 species
UACGAAGGGGGCGAGCGUUGUUCGGAAUUACUGGGCGUAAAGGGCGCGUAGGCGGCCCUCUUUGUCGCGUGUGAAAGCCCCGGGCUCAACCUGGGAAUGGCCGUUGAAACUGGCGAACUGGAGUGUGGCAGAGGGGGGUGGAAUUCCGCGUGUAGCAGUGAAAUGCGUAGAGAUGCGGAGGAACACCGAUGGCGAAGGCAGCCCCCUGGGCUGACACUGACGCUCAGGCACGAAAGCGUGGGGAGCAAACAGG